rnacentral:rRNA from 1 species
GGGGAAUUUGGACACUGGGCGAAAGCCUGAUCCAGCCAUGCCGCGUGUGUGAAGAAGGUCUUCGGAUUGUAAAGCACUUUAAGUUGGGAGGAAGGGUUGUAAACUUAAUACUUGCAAUUUUGACGUUACCGACAGAAUAAGCACCGGCUAACUCUG